rnacentral:rRNA from 1 species
UGGGGAAUUUUGGACAAUGGGCGAAAGCCUGAUCCAGCAAUGCCGCGUGUGUGAAGAAGGCCUUCGGGUUGUAAAGCACUUUUGUCCGGAAAGAAAUCCUUGGCUCUAAUACAGUCGGGGGAUGACGGUACCGGAAGAAUAAGCACCGGCUAACUACGUGCCAGCAGCCGCGGUAAUACGUAGGGUGCAAGCGUUAAUCGGAAUUACUGGGCGUAAGCGUGCGCAGGCGGUUUGCUAAGACCGAUGUGAAAUCCCCGGGCUCAACCUGGGAACUGCAUUGGUGACUGGCAGGCUAGAGUAUGGCAGAGGGGGGUAGAAUUCCGCGUGUAGCAGUGAAAUGCGUAGAGAUGUGGAGGAAUACCGAUGGCGAAGGCAGCCCCCUGGGCAAUACUGACGCUCAUGCACGAAAGCGUGGGGAGCAAAACAGGAUUAGAUACCCUGGUAGUCCACGCCCUAAAACGAUGUCAACUAGUUGUUGGGGAUUCAUUUCCUUAGUAACGUAGCUAACGCGUGAAGUUGACCGCCUGGGGAGUACGGUCGCAAGAUUAAAACUCAAAUGAAUUGACGGGGUCAUAGCUGUUUCCU